rnacentral:rRNA from 1 species
CCUACGGGAGGCAGCAGUGGGGAAUAUUGCACAAUGGGGGAAACCCUGAUGCAGCGACGCCGCGUGAGUGAAGAAGUAUUUCGGUAUGUAAAGCUCUAUCAGCAGGGAAGAAAAUGACGGUACCUGAUUAAGAAGCCCCGGCUAACUACGUGCCAGCAGCCGCGGUAAUACGUAGGGGGCAAGCGUUAUCCGGAUUUACUGGGUGUAAGGGGAGCGUAGACGGCAGGACAAGUCUGGAGUGAAAUGCCGGGGCUUAACCCCGGAACUGCUUUGGAAACUGUGCAGCUAGAGUGCAUGAGAGGUAAGUGGAAUUCCUAGUGUAGCGGUGAAAUGCGUAGAUAUUAGGAGGAACACCAGUGGCGAAGGCGGCUUACUGGACUGUAACUGACGUUGAGGCGCGAAAGCGUGGGGAGCAAACAGGAUUAGAUACCCCUGUAGUC